rnacentral:misc_RNA from 1 species
UCAGUAAAGUGUACAUACAUAUUUCGGCGUAGCAAUAAAAAUUUAUUUUUUUCGGGCGGAUCACAGAUUGCACAGAAGUUUAAAUAUAAGAGUUAGUUGCGAAAAGCCACUAGUCCCACAUAGCAUUCGCCGGCUAGGUGGGAGAGCCUCAGAUAAUAUUCAAUCCUACAUCGAAAAGUUCUCCUGUUGCCACAGCCUGUGCAACGGAGGCACACACAGUGGGAGAUACAGGAAGUUAUGAUUUUUUUUCAAAAAAUAUGUGUGCCAUUUUUAUUGGGUUAAUCAUUCCCAUAUAAUUAAUAUAAGAAUUUUCAAACAUCCGUUUGACUAUAAAAAUAUACAUCGGUCAAUCUUUUUAGUGAAACUCAAAGAGCGUUUUUAUUUGAUAUUAACAUCCCCUCCAGACGGAGGUAACAGAUUGCGCCAACAUAUUGAAACAUUUCCAGCUGCUCACCAACACUGUUACAUUUUCUUUAAGUGCGGGAGAAAGUCUUAACAAGCUCCUUGGUGUUUAUACGUUUAACCAAACCGCUACCAUUGUAACUGCAUGAUGAAAGAGAAACUUUGCUAUAUCACCUAUGGCAUCGAGAUGUGACAACUGUGCUUGUCACAAAUAGCUUUAAUAUAACGAAUUUUACUAACAUAAUACUGGUAUUCAGACCAACUUUGUUAAUUCGUUAGUCGUUACU